rnacentral:rRNA from 1 species
CCUACGGGGGGCUGCAGUGGGGAAUAUUGCACAAUGGGGGAAACCCUGAUGCAGCAACGCCGCGUGAGCGAUGAAGGCCUUCGGGUCGUAAAGCUCUGUCCUAAGGGAAGAAUACUGACGGUACCUUAGGAGGAAGCCCCGGCUAACUACGUGCCAGCAGCCGCGGUAAUACGUAGGGGGCUAGCGUUAUCCGGAAUUACUGGGCGUAAAGGGUGCGUAGGCGGCCCUUCAAGUCAGAGGUGAAAGGCUACGGCUCAACCGUAGUAAGCCUUUGAAACUGUAGGGCUUAAGUGCAGGAGAGGAGGGGGGAAUUCGGAGUGUAGCGGUGAAGUGCGUAGAUAGUGGGAGGAACGCAAGUUGGGACGGUGGCUCGCUGGAGUGUAACUGACCCUGAGGCACGAAAGGGUGGGGAUCGAGCGGGAUUAGAUAAGCAAGUAGUC